GAUGAACGCUGGCGGCGUGCCUAAUACAUGCAAGUCGAGCGAACAGAUAAGGAGCUUGCUCCUUUGACGUUAGCGGCGGACGGGUGAGUAACACGUGGGUAACCUACCUAUAAGACUGGAAUAACUCCGGGAAACCGGGGCUAAUGCCGGAUAACAUUUAGAACCGCAUGGUUCUAAAGUGAAAGAUGGUUUUGCUAUCACUUAUAGAUGGACCCGCGCCGUAUUAGCUAGUUGGUAAGGUAACGGCUUACCAAGGCAACGAUACGUAGCCGACCUGAGAGGGUGAUCGGCCACACUGGAACUGAGACACGGUCCAGACUCCCACGGGAGGCAGCAGUAGGGAAUCUUCCGCAAUGGGCGAAAGCCUGACGGAGCAACGCCGCGUGAGUGAUGAAGGUCUUCGGAUCGUAAAACUCUGUUAUUAGGGAAGAACAAAUGUGUAAGUAACUAUGCACGUCUUGACGGUACCUAAUCAGAAAGCCACGGCUAACUACGUG
rnacentral:rRNA from 1 species